rnacentral:rRNA from 1 species
UACGUAGGGAGCAAGCGUUGUCCGGAAUCAUUGGGCGUAAAGCGCGCGUAGGUGGCCUCAUAAGUCCGCUGUGAAAGUCAAAGGCUCAACCUUUGAAAGCCGGUGGAUACUGUGAGGCUAGAGUACGGAAGAGGCGAGUGGAAUUCCUGGUGUAGCGGUGAAAUGCGCAGAUAUCAGGAGGAACACCAAUUGCGAAGGCAGCUCGCUGGGACGUUACUGACGCUGAGACGCGAAAGCGUGGGGAGCAAACAGG